UACGUAGGGUGCGAGUGUUGUCCGGAAUUAUUGGGCGUAAAGGGCUCGUAGGCGGUCUGUUGCGUCGGGAGUGAAAACUCAGGGCUUAACCCUGAGCCUGCUUCCGAUACGGGCAGACUAGAGGUAUGCAGGGGAGAACGGAAUUCCUGGUGUAGCGGUGAAAUGCGCAGAUAUCAGGAGGAACACCGGUGGCGAAGGCGGUUCUCUGGGCAUUACCUGACGCUGAGGAGCGAAAGUGUGGGGAGCGAACAGG
rnacentral:rRNA from 1 species